rnacentral:rRNA from 1 species
AGAGUUUGAUCCUGGCUCAGGACGAACGCUGGCGGCGCGCCUAACACAUGCAAGUCGAACGAGCGAGAGAGAGCUUGCUUUCUCGAGCGAGUGGCGAACGGGUGAGUAACGCGUGAGGAACCUGCCUCAAAGAGGGGGACAACAGUUGGAAACGACUGCUAAUACCGCAUAAGCCCACGGCUCGGCAUCGAGCAGAGGGAAAAGGAGCAAUCCGCUUUGAGAUGGCCUCGCGUCCGAUUAGCUAGUUGGUGAGGUAACGGCCCACCAAGGCGACGAUCGGUAGCCGGACUGAGAGGUUGAACGGCCACAUUGGGACUGAGACACGGCCCAGACUCCUACGGGAGGCAGCAGUGGGGAAUAUUGCACAAUGGGGGAAACCCUGAUGCAGCGACGCCGCGUGAGCGAAGAAGUAUUUCGGUAUGUAAAGCUCUAUCAGCAGGGAAGAAAAUGACGGUACCUGACUAAGAAGCCCCGGCUAACUACGUGCCAGCAGCCGCGGUAAUACGUAGGGGGCAAGCGUUAUCCGGAUUUACUGGGUGUAAAGGGAGCGCAGGCGGGAAGACAAGUUGGAAGUGAAAUCCAUGGGCUCAACCCAUGAACUGCUUUCAAAACUGUUUUUCUUGAGUAGUGCAGAGGUAGGCGGAAUUCCCGGUGUAGCGGUGGAAUGCGUAGAUAUCGGGAGGAACACCAGUGGCGAAGGCGGCCUACUGGGCACCAACUGACGCUGAGGCUCGAAAGUGUGGGUAGCAAACAGGAUUAGAUACCCUGGUAGUCCACACUGUAAACGAUGAUUACUAGGUGUUGGAGGAUUGACCCCUUCAGUGCCGCAGUUAACACAAUAAGUAAUCCACCUGGGGAGUACGACCGCAAGGUUGAAACUCAAAGGAAUUGACGGGGGCCCGCACAAGCAGUGGAGUAUGUGGUUUA